rnacentral:lncRNA from 11 species
GCUGGAAAUUGUAGAAUAACACCUGGAGGGACAAUAGCUCCCUUGCCUAAUCUUCUGUGCCUCUGAUCUCAUUUAUAGAAAAAAAGGGAGAGCACGAUUCUUGGUUCUUCAUGUGUAGUGAUUUUCUUCCAUGUAUACUUUUCCAUUGCUAGAUCACUACACAGAUACUAAAAAGCCAAUUAAAUGUAACAAACACUGGCUCUUUUUUCUAGAUUUUCAUGCACGUUUUUUUUUCCUAAUGUUCUUCUCUGUUAUAGUUAAAUUGCUUUUAGUUUGUUUAUAUUUUUACUAAGUCUGCUUAAUACAAAAUGCCUACAGCUAUUAAGUAGUUUCAGGAUUUGUCUGCUGUUCCUUUUAUAAACAGGAGCCUCCCUUAUCUUAUUUUUUAAUCUUUAGACUUUCUUGAAUCUUUUGAAGAGACAAAAAACCAGGAACUGGAACGGAAAACACAGAUAGAGGCCAAUAUUGUGGCAAUUUUAGAGCACUCAAGCAGGAAUGUAAAUCGUAUGAAGCAGAUAUCUUCUGUUACAAAUCAAGAGCUGAAGAUCAUGCAGGAAGACCUCACAUUCAAAUCAAGUGAAAUGCAAAAAUCACAGAGUACAGCAAAAAACCUAGGUUCAGACUGUCAACGUCUGCAGAUGGAUCUCCAGAAGAUGGGUCUAUUGGAAGGCAAGAUGAAGGACGAACUCGCUUCUCUCAAAGAAAAAACUGAGCAAAUGACCAAGGACCUAGAACUGUACAACAACCUGCCAGCUCUGAAAGCAGCAGGAGAAGAGAGAAAGAACAAACUGCAAGAGGAGAAAGAAACCCUGACAAAACACAGGAAUGCUUUUAAGAAAAUUAUGGAGGAGAUGAAUACGGAGUAUGAAGGCCUGAAGCUGCAGCUACAGGAGAAUGAGACGCAUGCGCAGCUUACAAAUCUGGAAAGGAAGUGGCAGCAUCUUGAACAAAAUAAUUUUGUCAUGAAAGAAUUUAUAGCAACAAAAACCCAAGAAAGUGAUUACCGUCCAGUUGUGAAGAAUGUCACAAAACAGAUUGCAGAAUAUAACAAAACCCUCAUAGAAGCUUUAGAGAACAGGAAAUGAACCUAGGCUCUUCUUUCAUGUGUCCGAGGACCAUUGAGAGGUUUUGUCUAAAUGCAUUGUAAGCUUUGCAAGAAUAGUUUUCAAACUUAUGCACGUAUGUCCCAUAGUUCAAUGUUUAUUUUCAUGAACCUUUCUUGUAUAUAUGCACAAACACCCAGGGACUUUAUUUUAUUCAGAAUUUUACUAUGGUUAGAUCAAUUCCGUAUUCUCAGAUAAUGAAUCUUUUAAGAUACUUUAGUAUACCUUGUUUUGACCUUGGUUAGUAAGCAGUGUGACUUAAUAGAUGCUGUUUUGGAAUACACCUUCUGACAGUACCAAUAGGUGGAACAUAUUUCAUAUUUGAGCAGCAUAGUAACCUCAGCAACAAAGAAUUUUAUGUUUAUCUGUAUGUUUUUAUCCAUUUAUCUUAUUUUAUCAGAAUUCUUCUAAUGCAGGGGAGAUGAAUUUUAACAAUAGUUUUAACAAUGUAACAAGCACUGAAACAAUCUAAGGGGAAAUUAUUCAGCAUUCUUGAAUCCAAAGAUUAUUAUGUCACUCCCCUUCACUUUCAGAGAGGUUUGUGUAAUAGCCCACGAUGAGUAAAGGUCUCCCCAUUACCAGAGUCUAACUUGCAAGCGAAGCAGGAAGUAGAUGUGGGGGAAAAAGCAAAUGUAAAGAGCUAGUGUUUACUUCUACUAAAUCUGGGAGCAGGGAGAGAGAGAAAUUAAUAGAAUUUGUUAGAUCUGAAUGUUUUUUUAGUGACAUAAAUGUAACAUUAGCUGUUAAUACUCAAAAAGGUCAGAAAUUUUGCAUCAAUCCAAGGAAUAUUGGUAGUUGUAUGGAAGCUGCAGCAAAUAACAAGUCUGUCUGUCUUAUUUUGAAAACAAAAAUAAAAUUGUAAAGUAACAUGUAAUUCUGUACCAAGAACAACCAAAGAGUUUUAUGACAAUUCCAAAUCUAAUAAAAAAAAUUAUGGUUUAAACUUGAAGGGAAUCUACUUUGUUCAGUGCAUAUUUUGUUCUGAUUUACAGGUGUACGCAUAUGUAUUGGGUAAAACAGUGUGGUUGAAAUGAAAUGACAGAUAAUAUAGUACUUUUAUUACAGUCAGAUCCUAGCACUCAUAUGUUUAUUAACAAGAAUGCUUUGUGUGCUUUUUUGUAAAUAAUUUCCAUUAAGUUCAGUGGAGCUUACUCCACAGAGUUCAUAGGGUUGCACUUUUGCACAAGAAGUGUGGAAUUUUUUUAAAGCUCCUGAUAUAAGACACAAAAAUAAAAGAGAAAGACAGAUGUUACGGG